UAGUUAGUUGGUGGGUAAAGGCCUACCAAGACAAUGAUGCAUAGCCGAGUGAGAGACUGAUCGGCCACAUUGGGACUGAGACACGGCCCAAACUCCUACGGGAGGCUGCAGUAGGGAAUCUUCCACAAUGGGCGAAAGCCUGAUGGAGCAACGCCGCGUGUGUGAUGAAGGCUUUCGGGUCGUAAAGCACUGUUGUAUGGGAAGAAAAGUUAAGGUAGGGAAUGACCUUAGCCUGACGGUACCAUACCAGAAAGGGACGGCUAAAUACGUGCCAGCAGCCGCGGUAAUACGUAUGUCCCGAGCGUUAUCCGGAUUUAUUGGGCGUAAAGCGAGCGCAGACGGUUGGUUAAGUCUGAUGUGAAAGCCCGGAGCUCAACUCCGGAAAGGCAUUGGAAACUGGUUAACUUGAGUGCAGUAGAGGUAAGUGGAACUCCAUGUGUAGCGGUGGAAUGCGUAGAUAUAUGGAAGAACACCAGCGGCGAAGGCGGCUUACUGGACUGUAACUGACGUUGAGGCUCGAAAGUGUGGGUAGCAAACAGGAUUAGAUACCCUGGUAGUCCACACCGUAAACGAUGAACACUAGGUGUUAGGAGGUUUCCGCCUCUUAGUGCCGAAGCUAACGCAUUAAGUGUUCCGCCUGGGGAGUACGACCGCAAGGUUGAAACUCAAAGGAAUUGACGGGGACCCGCACAAGCGGUGGAGCAUGUGGUUUAAUUCGAAGCAACGCGAAGAACCUUACCAGGUCUUGACAUCCUUUGAAGCUUUUAGAAAUAGAAGUGUUCUCUUCGGAGACAAAGUGACAGGUGGUGCAUGGUCGUCGUCAGCUCGUGUCGUGAGAUGUUGGGUUAAGUCCCGCAACGAGCGCAACCCUUAUUGUUAGUUGCCAGCAUUCAGAUGGGCACUCUAGCGAGACUGCCGGUGACAAACCGGAGGAAGGCGGGGACGACGUCAGAUCAUCAUGCCCCUUAUGACCUGGGCUACACACGUGCUACAAUGGCGUAUACAACGAGUUGCCAACCUGCGAAGGUGAGCUAAUCUCUUAAAGUACGUCUCAGUUCGGACUGCAGUCUGCAACUCGACUGCACGAAGUCGGAAUCGCUAGUAAUCGCGGAUCAGCACGCCGCGGUGAAUACGUUCCCGGGUCUUGUACACACCGCCCGUCACACCAUGGAAGUUUGUAAUGCCCAAAGCCGGUGGCCUAACCGUAAGGAGGGAACCGUC
rnacentral:rRNA from 1 species